GUGUAAACCCGCAAAAGAAAGCCCUCAGCCUCAAAUCCAUAUCGCCGAAGCAAGCCUCAGGUUUUUCCCCUUCAAUCAUAGGUUCUCCGGCCUUCAAUUGCCGGUAUCUAUCUUCAAUCUCUUUGGGAUUACCAAGUCUCGGGUGAACCAAAUUUCUAUCUGAUAGAUGAAAGCAGAAUUUGCCCCCUUUUCAUUUAAGGUUUAGUUGGCUUGGAGGCUUGAUCAAAAGGCAAUAUCGUGGUUGAUUGAUCGCUUGGGUUGCGGGGUGAGAUAACGGAGUGGGUCCUGAGCGAUGUUUAGUAGAUUUACGCGGAUCCAGUUAUGGACGAAGACUUGAUGUACAGUUGUACAACAUUCGCAGUCAUGAAGUCCUCUUUCCUCCUAUCUUUACUAUUUUUUUCUGAGUUCAAAAUAAUGUAUUUUAUUCAGACCCUGUUUUUAGCGCUGUAGACAUUCAUGUAGUCGUGACACCAGUUUUUGGGUUAAGUUUAGACUCGUUAUUCAGUAUUGUUAUACUAUACUUCGGACUUAUAUUGUUUUCA